UCGGGGUCAGCCUCAGAGCCUCGUCGGACCCCUGUUCUCAGGCCCAUACGCGCCCACGCGCCACCGCGAACGUCGCCACGCGUGGUGGUCGGAGACUGGGAAAUUUCCCGUUUCAGCGCAGAUCGAAAGAGGUUCGUCUCCCUUUUCCUUUUUUAAUCGCAAUAUAUAUAUGUGCAUGUAUUUAAAAGAAAAUUUCACCUUUGUAUAUUCAAUCGACUGUGAUGCUUUUUGUAUAUGCGCGCAAGAAUAAAUUCUUUUAUUGAAUCUCUAUAUUCUUUUUUUAUUGAUUCUCUCCGUAUAUUCCAAGAACGUAAGUCCCUUUUUUACAAAUCGGAGGAAAGGCCUUAUAGCCUUUAGAGUAUACAUGUUUAGGAAAGAAAUCUUUGAUUUCUUUCUUUAUUGGUUUCAAUUUAUUUGCUGCUAUUUGGUUUCCUUUUCUGUUUCGUGUCUGCUGGUUUCUUUUGUCCUGUCUUGUAGGUAUUCGCGAGAACAUCACGGUGAUGUCGAUUCACGCGAUGAUCGUGGCGUGGUACAAGGCCAAAGCCACGGCAC
rnacentral:lncRNA from 1 species